GGUCUCCAAGAUUGAGUUCAAAGAUGAGAGUCGUGGAGGUCGUUAUGUCCCCGUAAUAGAUCUUUUGUGUUUGUUUCUUUGUGUGUUUGUAGUUCAAGUACCGAUGUGGCAUGAGUGUAGAUUUUUGUAUGGUGUAAAGGUAUUGUAAUAUAGAUUUUGUGGUUUAAGUUUGAACUCUUUUGUUUUAUAGGAAUGUGGAAAAGAAGUUAUAUUGUUCUUAUUUUUUGGUUGUCCUGGUGUUGUCUUGUAUGUAGGUCAACGACCUUCUGGCCAAUUAGAGUAGGACAGCUGUAUUGGUUGUGCUGGAUCUGUCUUUUAUGUAGGUCAUCGACCUUGUGGCCAGAACAGCUGUCAGCUAUAUAGCUGUCCAUGUUAUUUGUAUACUAUUUGGUAUUCAGUUUUCUGUUCCUUUUUUCUUCUAUUGGUUGGUUAUAAGCAGUAAGCCUCGUUUGCAUAGGAUAUUUGUGCUAUAGUGUUGUGUGUGCUAUCGAUGAGCUAGGUUACAGGUCAGACUCAACAGUAUGUCUUUAAUGGUGGAGUUUCCUUGGAUUUCUCGGUGUGGAGACCUCAACUAUACUGGUAUGUGUUUUUCCUCUUUUCUUAAGUUGCGUUUUCCAGUAGUAUGCCUUGCGUACUAACAGUGAAACGUCAAGAGGUCGGCGUUACUUUGCGUCGCAAAAUGUAGGAUAAUGCGUUAUGGAAGGUU